rnacentral:other from 1 species
AGAUUUCUGAGGUGUUCGACAUAUUCUCAAUGUGUUGACCGAACAAUUUAUUACUACCUUGGGAUCCUGUUUAUUCCGGUGGAUAACACGCCUUAUCAUUUGGUAGUUAGAGACUGGAUAUUGGAGCCCACCUGCUUAUAUGCGGGUUCAAAACUAGUAGAAUAUAACUCACCGGCACCAUCGGAUUUCUA